UACCUGACUCCCUUUUAAUUUUAUUUAAUAACUGUAUUAUUUAGGUUGCUCACAAUAAUACAAAUAUAAAUGUCAGUAGCAGUAGCAGCAGCAGCAGCGGUAAUAGUAGAAGGAGGAAGAAGAGUAACGACCUAGCAUUACUAUUUCCCCGUAAAUUAUCAUUAUGGUGUUCCUGGUGGCGUGAUGCGCAGGGCGGCGCCGUGGUGAGGAUUCAUGUGAGUGCCACCACCACCAACACGGGGCUCCACCACACUUUGCUCCCCCAGACACACACACGUGACCAGACACGCUCACCUUAUCACCCUUCGCUCCAAUACUCUGAACACGCAGUAUAUCAGAUAGCUAGUUAAAAAUAAAUAAAUAAAUAAAUAAAUAAAUAAGUGAGUAAAAUAAAUAAAAUUACUCAAUACCAAUACAUACGAAGAAAGGAAAAUUCCAUGAAAAAUUUGCCAUUUAUGUCAUAACAUGUCAACAUUUUGAAAUCGUAACGUAUUAGAUAAACGACAGGCAAACAAAAAAAAAAAAAGAAAAAAAAACUAAGUGAAUCAAGUAAGUAAAAUGACUCAGCAGCAAUAUUUACAAAGAAAAAAAUAUUUGACGAACAUUUGUUAUUUGCGUUAGGGAUAAACAAUAAGGAAAAGAGUAGCAAUUCGGAGCGCCAUUAUUAAGAAAUCGUUAUAGCCAAGUGAUUCGUGAGGAAGGCUGACGGAUCGAGAAAGAAAGAAAAUAAGGACAGUUCUACUAAGAUUUGGUAUUCACAUAAAGGACGAACACGAACAAGAAGGAAAAGAUCAGCCACGGAACGUCCAUGUUGAGAAUAUUUCCUGUUACGUAGGGAGGCAGGUGAGGAAGGCUGACGGAUCAAGUGACGCAGACCUGCCAGCCGCCGUCCCUCGCCAAGGUCACCAGGCGCACCCUGCACGUUCAAUAGAUGCUCAGUACGGCUCCUUUCGCCCACCGGGGAAACCUAUAAUAGAAGUGCCCAGAGCCAGCAGGAACCAUCCCCAUAGAGCCAAGCCUCUUCAAGCUGUGGCACCAAGCAAGGGUGCCAUGAUGGGAGAUGUCUAUGCCAGGGCUGCCUCCCCAGGAUGGAGGCACAACACUUGAUUUUCACCUAACACAUCAGGAAAGGACUGUUGGGUGACACAGAUGAGGCUGUGUAUUGAUUCUCAUCAGACAUUAUAAUUGUAGACCUCAAAAGUAUUAAUUUCAUCACAAAGUAAAGCUCUAGUCUCCUACUGCUUGCUGGAUCUCUGUGAGGCAGUUGCUGUUGAAUGUUGAGUUGGUAUGAGGCAUGGGGGUUUUCCUUCAGCCACUUGGCAGCAGCUUAGAAAAUGAUCAUCAUUCAACAGGAUUUGAACUUGGGCUCUGAGGAUCACCAUCCAUCUGAGUGUUGGUCAUGAGGCAACAAGGAGGGAGAGAAGUACAAUGACUUAUAGCUUCAGCCUCAAGUACAGACUGCUUGUCCCUUGAGCAGUCACUUCUGGGUGCCAUACUGUGCAAUGCAGUGAUCCUGAAUAGUGUAUUGUCUUCUUAGACCUGAACCCUCAGCUCUUCAUUCAUGUAGAGGUAAGAAUUAGAUGUUUAGAAUUAAAUGUUUGGGUUCUGAAAGUGUAGGAGUUGAAAUAUUAGGAGUAGGAAGAUUGAUGUAACUUAAAUGAUGGGAUAAGUGUAAGAAGUAUAAGUAUGAUUAAGGGUAGGUGUGGAGACUAUUCUGAUUUAGUGGUGGUGUGCAUGUUUUGUUUGUGGUUUGCAUAAGACGUGAAAGGUGGUGGAUUCUCAAGAGAGAGCACAUUUAGAGGAAGCACACACAACAUACACACAGAUGGAUAGGAUUAUUGCCUUCUUUUUCUGGCAGGUAGCAUGUCACAGCAGCUCAGCUCACAUUCCAGGACUAUUCACUGCUUAUUCAACAGACAAUAGUUUGAAGACUGAAAGAAGGUGGUAUCGGAUUUUUAUCAUCUGGCCCAUGAUAUGAAUCUGGGUCUUCGCAGUUGUGAGCUGUGCAAGAGCUGUGUGACAUAACUUUACGUUACCAGGCCACAAGAUUUUUUUUUUUUUUUUUAUGUAGGAGGGACACUGGCCAAGGGAAACAAAAAUCUAUUAAAAAAAAGCCCACCAAGAUGCUGGUCCCAAAUAGGGGCAUUUAGUGAGAGAUAAACUAUAUUUGGAAUAAUGAUGCGCUUAUUUGGGGUGUUUGGUGAAGGAUAAACUGUUGUAAUUAGAAUGAAACAGUGGUACAAUGCUUGGAUAAAGGAUAAGUUGUUUGUGAUGGAAAAAUUGUGUUUAUAGGAUAUUUAGUGGAAGAUAAGCUGCAUUUUGAAUUAAGUAUGGAUGUGGUGUGUGUUUUUUGGUGAAGUAUAAACUGUUGUAAUUGGGAUAAAAUAGUGUUGGAGAUUGUGAAAACUUGUUAAACUUAAUUAUUUCAAUGUAUCUUAUAAAUCUUCUUGGCCUUCCUCUCUUCCUCUUCCUCCUCUUCCUUUGAUUCUUAGUGUCUUUCUUUGUUGUGUCUUGUGUUCCUCCUUCUCUUCUUCCUCCCUCCCUUUCUGUCUUUCUUUGUUGUGUCUUGUGUUCCUCCUCCUCUUCUUCCUCCCUUCCUUGUAGUGUCAUGUUCCUACUUUCUUUUCUUCCUCCUCUUCCUUCUCUGUGUCUUUCAUCCUUCCUCCAUCUUCCUUCACUUGCAUGUCUUCCUUUAAUGCACCUGUACCUCCUCCUCCUCUUCCUCUCUUUACUGUCUUGCUUGAGUAAGUAAAAUUCAGGUUUGUCUAAUAUGUUAUAUAUAUCAUUGAGGACAGGAAAAUAGGUUUCUUUAUUAUUAUUAUUAUCUUUCAUAAAGUUUAUAUUUUACUAUAAUGUUAGUUUAUUAUUAUUACUUAUCAUUGCAACACUGAAUUUUUCUAUAAGGAUAAACAUUUUGAUAACAUAUUAGACCUAAACUCAAAUAUUUUUUUGUCAGAGAAAAAAAUAAAUAAAUUAUAAAUCU